GCGGCGUGCUUAACACAUGCAAGUCGAACGGAAAGGCCCUGCUUGCAGGGUACUCGAGUGGCGAACGGGUGAGUAACACGUGGGUGAUCUGCCCUGCACUCCGGGAUAAGCUUGGGAAACUGGGUCUAAUACCGGAUAGGAGCCAUCUUUAGUGUGGUGGUUGGAAAGUUUUUUCGGUGUAGGAUGAGCUCGCGGCCUAUCAGCUUGUUGGUGGGGUAAUGGCCUACCAAGGCGGCGACGGGUAGCCGGCCUGAGAGGGUGUACGGCCACAUUGGGACUGAGAUACGGCCCAGACUCCUACGGGAGGCAGCAGUGGGGAAUAUUGCACAAUGGGCGCAAGCCUGAUGCAGCGACGCCGCGUGGGGGAUGAAGGCCUUCGGGUUGUAAACUCCUUUCGCUAGGGACGAAGCUUUGUGUGACGGUACCUAGAUAAGAAGCACCGGCUACCUACGUGCCAGCAGCCGCGGUAAUACGUAGGGUGCGAGCGUUGUCCGGAAUUACUGGGCGUAAAGAGCUCGUAGGUGGUUUGUCGCGUCGUCUGUGAAAUUCUGGGGCUUAACUCCGGGCGUGCAGGCGAUACGGGCAUAACUUGAGUGCUGUAGGGGUAACUGGAAUUCCUGGUGUAGCGGUGAAAUGCGCAGAUAUCAGGAGGAACACCGAUGGCGAAGGCAGGUUACUGGGCAGUUACUGACGCUGAGGAGCGAAAGCAUGGG
rnacentral:rRNA from 1 species